ACCAAAUGGACGAAAGAUUAUUUUAGGGCUACGAUGCUUUUGGGAAACAGCCCAGGUUGACACACCGCCUGCCUGAACAGAGACCAAAUAAAGCUUGAACAGACAGAAUAACCAUUUCACCCCUUAAACUACAGUACGCUUUAACCCAUUACUUAUCAUAUAAAUAUAGAUCUUAUUGCCAAAACAUGUGCACUGUGUAACUUUAAUACACAAAAAGAAUGAUUAAUAGAGUGAAACUAGCGGCAGAAAACAAAUGGUUGCCAUGCCAAAAACCGGUAGAUUGUUCAUGGGGCCCUGUUAGCUCUUAAUCAUGACUUGGUUAAAUUACAUUGCACACAAAUCAUUGGAUGAAGCAAGGGGGAGUUGUGAAGCUAGGUCUGAACAUUAAAGGAAAAUUCCACCCAAAACUAUUUUGGUAUGCAUAAUUAGUCCAUUGUUGAGUCCCAACAUGCUUUGCUUGUCAACAAUGGACUAAUGAUACAGUUUUUGGGUGGAGUUCUCUUUUUAACAAGGAAACCCCUAUGGGACUCCCGAGUGGCGCAACGAUCUAAAGCUCUGCAUCUCAGUGCUAGAGGCGUCACUAUAGACCCUGGUUCAAUUCCAGGCCGUAUCACUUGCUCUGAGACCUUGAAGUAGUAGUUCCCCUUGCUCUGCAAGGGCCGUGGCUUUUGUGGAGCGAUGGGUAACGAUGCUUCGUGGGGUGACUGUUGUUGAUGUGUGCAGAGGGUCCCUGGUUCGCGCCCGGGUAUGGGCGAGGGGACGGUCUAAAGUUAUACUGUUACACACGCAUCGUUCUUACUCUUCUCAACGAGCAGCGAGUGCUGCCGUGGGCCCAACCCCUGUCCCAAAGCACUCACAGGUGGCCCAGUCCUCGCACAGCAGUCCCUCCCAGCUGCAGUCAGAGCAGGAGAUGUUCACCCCUCCACGUCCAGACUGCAAAUGAAUCGCGCAUGCGGGAAGCCGGUGCUGGCUGAUGUAAAUGUAAAAUGUUCUUUGUCUAAAAUAAAUCACUGCAUUUGACUCACACAGCCUCAGUCACUUACCUUGUCUACUAUGUGUGUGUCUCUCUGUGACAUAUUCUAAACAUCUAGCUGGCUAGCUCAUCAUGUCUCAGUCUAAACUGUACACUCAAAAAUACAGAAAGGAGUGGGAAUCAAACCCUGAAUUCAAAGGCUGGUUGAAGCCGUUUAUUGGAGAUGAUACACGGGCAUACUGCCUGUAAACUUGUAUGUAAAGAAAAAAAACACAUGACAACUCAAAAACAUACUCAAAUAAAGGCAAAGCCUUAUAACAGUUCCACCCAAAACAAGCUGCCAUUUAUGGUUAAAAACAUUACUCUGCAAAAAAGGCUGAGGCCACCAUGACAUUAGCUAUCACUGAACACUUCCAUGCUGGCAUGUGAUCACAUUGGAGAAGCAUGUAGAGCUGCUUUCUCAGACUCCACUGCUGCUACCCACUUCAAAAUGCACAGGACAAAGUGCACAGAAAUGAUUAAUGGUGUUCUAGCACCAUACUUUCUGAAAAAGUUGGUCGCAGAUGUGGGUGACCAGCGUUUCAGCCUCCUUCUCGAUGACUCCACGGAAGUAAGUGUUUCUAAGUACCUGGGGGUUGUGAUAAGGUACUUUAGUGACAUCAAGCAGACAAUUGUAUCAACAUUUCUGGGGCUUGUUGAGUUGGAGGGAGGAGAUGCUAAAUCUAUGCCCGUGCUGUUGUGGCCUAAAACUAUGCCCGUGCUUUCCUCGAGAAGUGUUGUCUUAAAAAAGAGAAACUCCUGGGGAUAGGGACUGACAAUGUCUCUGUUAUGAUGGGGAUUAACAAUGCGGUCCAUAAAGUGCUAAAGGAGUAUGGCCUCAAAUAUCUGGUUCUUAUUCGCUGUGUGUGCCACUCUCUGCAGCUUGCUGUAAGUCAUGCUUCCAAUGACACCAUCCCCUGUAGUGUGGAGUACUUGGUACAAGAGACUUAUAACUGGUUUUCAGUGUCUCCAAAGCGCAGGGAGGCUUACAAGGCCAUAUAUGAGACCAUCAACUGUUGGGGGAAACCUUUACAGAUAGCCAAGGUGUGUGCCACACGUUGGCUCUCCAUUGAACCCGCGGUUUCACGCAUUUUGGACCAGUGGGAGGAGCUUAGGCUGCAUUUCGCAGUCACCAAGUCCAGUAAGCACUGCAACAUGGCUGAGGUUUUAUACUCCAUGUACAGUGAUCCUCAAAACAUAUUGGAUCUGACUUUUUUGAAGUCCGUGCUGGGUGAGGUACAGUUGGCCAUCAAGGCUUUUGAGGGAGAGCUAGUAGAUCCUCUUAAGCAACUUGACAGCUUGGUUAGCCUGAUCAAGUCUGUGAGCAGCAGGGUGCUGAAUCCACUGACAAAUGUUGAUGUACUCAAAGGGCCAAUAGAUGGAUACAUCAGUCCCAAACCGUACCUUGGUUACCUUUUUGAGUCUGAGGCAGCUGAACUCCACCUUGCGCCUGAGGAUGAAACAAUGUCCAAAAGCGGCGAGUAGACUGCCGGACAAUAUCGAAGCAUUGCAGUACAUGUCAGUUUUCAAUGUGGAGGAAACUCUAAAGCACAAUAAGAGCCCUGGAGAAAUAGAAAAAAAUAGCCAAGCUCCUUAGCUACUCCCCUACAGAGAUAGACAAGAUUGUCCAGCAAUGGCGUGCCAUCCAUCUUAGUAAAUGGAAUGAGACAAAAACACACUGGGCUUCUGGAGUGAGAUUUGGAAGUUCAGGGAUGCAGCUGAUAUCAACCCGUUUCAAGAACUUGCCAUGGCUGCUGUGUCUGUGUUGUCAUUGCCACAGUCGAAUGCUGAAGUCGAGAGAGUAUUCAGCCAGAUGAGUGGUAAAAAGCAAACUUAGAAAUCGGAUGUCCUUGCAGACCCUUAACUCCAUCCUGUACAUUCGAUAUGGACAGAAGCUGUCUGGUGAGGCUUGCUAUGAGCACCAGCUGCCUGAUAAUGUUUUGCAGUUUUUUGGCACAUCAGCUGCUUACUCAUUUAAGUCAGCUCCCUCAGUUGCUGAACCUGCCAUAGAAAGCCCUGACAAAUGACGAUGGCCCACUCUUUCUGUGAGCCAGCACAGCCUGUGUAUGGAGGGGGUAUGGAGAAGAAAAGAAACUGAAUUAGGGCCAGACUAGUUACCAUAAUUUUCUCACAUUGCCAUUGACAGUUUUUUAUAUAGUCUCUUUUUGGUCCAUUUAGAUUGUUAUUGUAGAUUGUAUACGAAAACAUUUAAAAAAUUGUCAUCAGAGAGCACACAAUGUUUCAAUAUAUCCCUUUUUGCCUAAAGGUCAGUAUCCUGUCUAGCAUGCCAGAAGUUUGAGAAGGCAAAGACUGGCACCGGAGUUGAAGCCCAUCAAAGUUGUUUCAACAUGGCACAUGAUCGGGUGGACCUCAUCAGACCCUUCACGAAAUCCAGGAAUGGCAUCAGCUGGUGUCUGACGGUGACCGAUCACUUUACCAAGUGGGUGGAGGCGAUACCCAUUAAGGACGAGACUAGCGAGGCCACCUCCAAGGCGAUGGUGGACUAUCUUCAACACCCACGGUUCUCCUGAGGUCAUGACUUCGGUCUCCUGACUGAGGUCAUGAACGGUGGAACAAGGUUUGGUAAAUGGACCAACCAGACCCUCAAGACUGCCAUGGGAAAGCCCCUUGAUACCAGGAAGGGUGGGAGAACAACCUGAAGGUAAUUCUCUUUGCACACAACAGCAGCAUCUACGCCGAGUACGGACGGGAGCCGCAGUUGUUGACUGAGGUAAACAAUGCAAUUGUAUAUACAAUUAUUGCAUAUACUGUAGUAUUUCAAAUUUGUGAUUGACUUAGUGUUGUUGUUUGUCUAUUGCUAUUUUUGUAUAACGAUCUUUCAGACCACUGAAACCCCACCUGAAGUGGGGGAAGUUGUCGAACCAGAUCAGAAGGCCUUCGAGGACCACCUUCAGGCACGGACUGAGAAGGAAGUGGAGGUUUUUGACCAGCAGCUAGAGGUUCUGCCCAACACCCAGACGUGGACCAACCUGAUGUCCCCCAUUACCAACCAUCCUCCAACUUUUCUUUACAUCGUCUACACUGUUGUUGUCAUUAUCUGCUAAGAAAGUUUCCUUGCUCUAUCAUACUGGACACAUAAUAGGUGAGAUACACAGAUGAACUAAAAACACUAGCACUGUAAACACACAGAACAAAGAGAGCAGCAGUGCCUGGACUUUGCCGUCUCCCUCUUCAAGUCCCCCUUCUGAGACUGGCUGCCUGUUGAGAACAAGUGACUGACAGACAAUUCCACACACCAGAAUUCAGUAUUUUAGUCUAUGAUUGCCAUGUAAGUGUACAGAUAAUCUGUGAAAAUAAAUG